rnacentral:rRNA from 1 species
UACGUAGGGUGCGAGCGUUAAUCGGAAUUACUGGGCGUAAAGCGUGCGCAGGCGGUUUUGUAAGCCAGGUGUGAAAUCCCCGGGCUCAACCUGGGAAUGGCAUUUGGGACUGCAAGGCUGGAGUGCGGCAGAGGAGACUGGAAUUCCUGGUGUAGUAGUGAAAUGCGUAGAUAUCAGGAGGAACACCGAUGGCGAAGGCAGGUCUCUGGGCUGACACUGACGCUCAUGCACGAAAGCGUGGGGAGCAAACAGG